rnacentral:rRNA from 1 species
UACGGGGGGGAGCAAGCGUUGUUCGGAUUUACUGGGCGUAAAGGGCGCGUAGGCGGUCAGCACAAGUCAGUUGUGAAAUCUCCGGGCUUAACUCGGAAAGGUCAACUGAUACUGUGCGACUAGAGUGCAGAAGGGGCAACUGGAAUUCUCGGUGUAGCGGUGAAAUGCGUAGAUAUCGAGAGGAACACCUGCGGCGAAGCGGGUUGCUGGGCUGACACUGACGCUGAUGCGCGAAAGCCAGGGGAGCGAACGGG